AAGAAAUUUUUAAUCUGCCACUUAAGAGACACUAAUGUACAAAUUGGCAAAAAAGAAAAUAAAAACCUGUCACCUUUCCCACACAUUAUCUAAAUGUGCUAAAGCAAAUGCAUUUCAGAUACCCUGCCCUGCUGUGCAUGAACACAUAAUAGGAUAGGACGUCAUCAGUGACUGAGCGUAUCUCCUAAUUGGUGUCAUCAGCUAUUUCUAGGACAGCCAAAUAGUGUCAGAGAUAAAGAAAUAUAAAUUAUCUGUGAAAACAAAGAGGUACGACAUGUAAAAAUUGGAUGUAGUACCUCCUGAUCCAAAACAAAAAAAUGGAUCUUAGGCUACCCAAAUAUUUUUAAAUGAUAUAAAAUGUUAUUUUAGGUCAAUAGCUUUCUAUAGUCAGAAUGUGGACAUACGGGGAUGAAUUAUGCCUGGCACCCCCAGUUAUCUCAUCCAAUGCUGCAGCUGUCACAAACCACAGGACACUUGAUCCAUAGGCCAGUAAAGAAUCAAGUUCUAACCACAGACACUCAAGAGCGCACAACAAGGCAUCUAAAAGAAUUUCCACUUGUGCCAUUCUGGGCAUCUUGAUGUCCUUAGCAUACUGUAACCUGAUUAUCCAGACAAGAUUGAGAAUGAAAGCAAGUAAUCCUGGACUGACUCUCCUGUAUCACAUAUGUAGCCCUCUAUUUGAAGUAAUGCUAACUCCUGCAAACCUGAGUUUAGCUCCAGAAAUCCAACCCAGGAGAGAAAGGACGUGAAUUGCCCUUCGAUGCACGUAUUAUUCCAUUCUCACACUGCUAUAAAGAACUGCCCGAGACUGGGAAAUUUUAUAAAGGAAAGAAGUUUAAUUGACUCACCGUUCAGCAUGGCUGGGGAGCCUUCAGGAAACUUACAAUCAUGGUAGAAAGCGAAGAGAAAGCAAGACACCUUCUUCACAAGGUGGCAAGAAGGAGAAGUGCCUAGCAAAGGAGGAAGAGUCCCUUACAAAACCAUCAGAUCUCGUAAGAACUCACUCACCAUCACGAGAACCGCAUGGGGAAAACCACCCGCAUGAUUCAGUUACCUUCACCUGGUCUCUCCCUUGACACAUGGGGCUUAUGGGGAUUACAAUUCAAGAUGAGAUUUGGGUGAGGACACAAAGCCUAACCAUAUCAACCCAUAAUGAGAAAAGUUCAUCAGAGCAAACACAUCAAAACCCAAGUUGGGGGAUAUUUAAUUUGCCAUGUACCAUUAGGGCAGUAGGCACAGUUUCAGCCCUAAUCAAAGGCCAGGAUUUUACUAAAAUCCAAGCAUUCCUGGAACCACACAGUCAAAAGGAAGGGGAAUUAAGAGACUGUGUUAAGACAGAGGCCUCCAGCAAAUGCAGUCAGUGCAUAUUAGAAGGCACCUGAAAGAUACUACUUGUUUAAGAAAUCAGGCUUAAGCAGAGGUAGUCAUAAACCGCAAACAUCUGUUCCAUGGCUCAUAACCUUGCACAUCUUAGGGGAAAGCACAGUGUUACCACUGCUGGCAGCAUAAGCCUGCUGAUAAGGAAUGUCUGGAUGUUUUUCAGGCAAAUACACUAUUCUCUGAGUGAUUUGGAAACUUUUUGUAGGGAAUUCGUAAAAUGGGUUUUUCCAAAAUCCUAGAAUAGGAAGGAUUAUUGAGUCGAUAUUCACAGCCCUUAUUGUUUUGCUUGGAAUGUUUAAAUGCUUUAGAACUUACUCCCUCUGUGUAAUUCUUGUCUAUCACAAUUGGGCCAUUUGCUGAACCCUGUGAACUCCUGGCAGGCAGAUCCUGUGUUUCUCUAAGGCAGCUCCUCCCUUCUCCCUUCCUCUUGGUAGCUUCUGUCCUGCCCUGGCUCCUUCUGCCCAGUAGACCCUUUCUUAUGUCUGCAUGUCAGCUCACAUGAACUUCCUGAAGUCCCAAUCAAUAUCCCUGGGUACACAGAUUGCCAAGGCAACCUCUGCUCAAUUCAAAGUCACCCAGAAUACUCUCAGUCUAGCAAGUGAAAGGGGAAGAUGUGGCUGGCUUAGAACAAAAAUAACAGAGAGGCUGGUACCACCAAGCCUCUCUAUGAAGCCAAAAAUCCUAUAAAAAAAGGAAAAGAUGACGUGGAUGCUGUGACUGCAAAGAAGAAGGCAAGGCCUGAGAGAUGCAAGGGAAAAGUGGGCAACCAACAGCAAGGAACAGGAGCAGGAAAGAGAGAGGCUGUCACAGGCUGAGAGAGGGCAAGGCCCACAUUUCCACCCACUUCCUCCUCCAAAACCCCGGCAGCAUCUCACCAGCAAAACCUCUGCCAGCUCCACACUCUAGCAGCCAGCCACACCCAGGCCACCAACCCUUUGCCACUAGUCGCAAGAGGAUGUUAGCUGAAGCCUCCUCUGAUUUAAAUGCCAGGCCACUGGCAUGUGACUCCAAGAUGUGUAACUCGUAGUAGGACUGUCAACUUGGGUCAUUUAAAAGGUGACCCCACUCAGGGGUACGUUCUGGAAAUAGUAUAGUGACCUCAGCCGAAAAGGCUAGAAGCUGUAGUUAGUGGGACCCAGCAAAAGAACCUCUUAAGGACCCAUAGCCAGAGGAGACCAGCACCAGACCAUCCAGCAAGAACUUUCCCUAUCUCUUCUUGUUCCCCUGCCUCAGCCCUGGGUCAUCCAAGACAACCUAGUAAGUAAAGGAGAAUGGUAAACAUGCUCCGUAGAAAUACAGAAAGUAGGUAUGCCUCCCCUCCCUGACUUCAUACAAGUUUCUAGGAGAAAGCCAGCCUGCAUGGAGGAUAACAGGGUUUCUACUCUAAAUGUGACUAUUACAUGGGCCUGGACAUUUUAAUUUCAAAUAAGAUAUAUAUUUUUUGUGGCUAGAUGUAACUAGAGGACUUUUCCAUUAUUGUCUAAGAAUAACCAAAACGAGGAUGUCUUUGUGAGAUUUCAUUCAAAGGCAAGAGUCAGCAGAAAGGAGCCAAGAUGGCAUUCGCUGGAGCAGUGAUGAGAAAAACAUGACUUCAUGAUCAUACCAGAUUAAACUCUAUUUGUUCAAUAUAUCAGUUAGAUGUUCAUUGGCCCAGGCACUCUCUGAAUCAGAUCUGGCCGGGGAGAGAGGACAUGGAGAGGCAGCUCAAGCUGGAAGAUCAUGUUGGUGAAGUUUGGUGACUUCUGUGACUGCUGGGGUAGGGUGACCCUUUCCUUGUCUGCUCCACUUCUGUCCCUUCAUUUCUCCAAGAUCUCUUGCCUGCUGAUGUUAACCAGCUUUUAUGACCCUAAAUAUUGUUAACCACCCACAGGGCCUGAGAUCAGAUUGUCUUAAGAUUUUUCAAACUAGGAGAGCCCUUUCUUCAGAAGAAAUUGUUGGAAUUUUAAAAGACCAAUACAAAGCAUUCCUGCCUUACUGGCCUAUGUUCAGAACCAAUAGAAAGAAGUGGAGAUCAAAACGUCAGUAUCAUUACUGGUAAAGCUACUGGAGACUGUGACUUAGAUGUGAGGACCAAAUGAGCAUGCCAGCAUUACAUCCCCAAAUUAAGCGUAUCCACAGCAGUGCUGGACAGCUAGAAGUCUCCUAUGAAGGAGUCCUCUCAGGGAAAACUACAGUACAAAGGAAUCAAACAGACCAGAAUACAUGGCCUCUGAGGCAGGCUGUUCCCAAAGCUCGAGGGCAGAGGAGGAGACUGAGCCCACAUUCUCAAGCGUCGCUCCCAAGUUCCCCAAUCAGGGAAGCCACUCCUCCUCUGGAGAGGAGGGAAUGAGGGGACAGAAAUGUAAAAACUGCCAAGUUCCCCUUACAGGGAAACAAGAGGAAUAGUGACUUAGUGUGUACUUGUUGCUGUCACAUGUCUUACUAUUAAGCAGAUCAUUGCUGUACUUCUCUGGUUGGAGAGGAGGAGGAAAGUGAUGGCGCAUGUGCUCUGUGCCGCUUACCCUAUGGUGCAUCCUUAGCCAGCUCAGGAGACUUGCUUUAAGCAUCUUUGGAAAACACUGUCUUGGGUCUCCUGGCAACAGCACUGUGCAUGGACUCAGAACAUGCUGCAGCUGUGACUCAUUGAUACUCUGGUAGAUUUCAUUUCCGUGGCUUGACAUCCAGCUCCCUGAGUGUCAUGGGUGCCCACUGCUGCCUCUAGCCCAGCAUCUCGCUGCCCCAUCAACUCCCAUCCACAGCCUGGCCCAGCACAAUCAGUAGGCAUCUUUGUGCCUAGGAGCUGCACCCUGCCUGUUACCCAGGCCUCCCUGGGGGAAACCAGUGAGGGAAAGGGUGAAGCAAGUCGGCUCCCUCUGCCUCAGCUUCAUUCAGAAGCAAGAUUCACCUGCCGAGCUCUGACCUCCCCCAGGUCAUAAUUGAACUGUAGGACUUCUUUGGUAUCUAAAACCAGCGAGUUGUGCCUUGCUUUGAACUGGCUCCAUAUAUAGCAAUUCAUCUACUUGCUUGGUCAGAAGAACGAUUCCUAAAAGAGGCCAAAAAUAAAUGACAAUGAUGUUUACUGACUGGGGAGGAAGACUUGAAGGCGGAGCUGUGUGCAUUCCUAUUCUUGGAUAUUUACUUCCAGGUCCCUUUAAACCAGUAAUUUUUAACUUUGGGUCUGGGGGUGGGGCAAGAGAAGGGUCAUAAAUUCUUUGCAUAAACUAAUGAAAGUUAGAGAUGCUCUCUCUCCAAAAGUGCACACACACACACACACACAAACACUAUGUGUAUAUAUAUGUGUAGUAUGUAUACACAUAUAUAAUAUUUAAUAUAUAUGUUACAUAUAAAGUAUAUAUAUGUGUGUGUGUGUGUGUGCAUAUAUGUGUGUAUAUAUACAUAUAAAUUAUAUAUAUAAAUUAGAGACUCCCUUGAGGUAUGUACAUACAGACACACACACACACACACACACACACACACACACACGCCAGAAUAAGAACCCCUGCUUUGAAUCAUGCAGAGUUUUAGAACUAUAUGGGGCAUUAAAUAUAGUGUGGUACAAAACAGGGAUUUCAAUUGAACUAAAAAAAAUAUUUUUCUUUUCAUAAAUUGAUAUCCUAUACUCUUUUAAAGGUUUAAAUAAAGAUAAUAAAUAAAGACAACGGAAACCACAUACAAGAUAGGGAGAAUUAAUUGUAUCCGCAACAAGGUUGUUACUGUAAGUAGACUCUUACAUUUAAGUCUGAGCUUCUGGGCAGCCAAGAUAAACAGAGAAACAUCAAGUAAAGCAACCAAUUAUUAAGAACUAUGUGUUAAGCUUUUAAAGAACAUGGUCCUUAAGGAGGAAAGAGUGAUUUUUAUUAAAAUAUUCAGAGGCUGAAGGCCAGGGCAAGGAUACGUGAUGGGCUGUGUGUUCCAUGCUAUAAAUGGAGGUUAGGUUCUACAGGCGGCACUUAGGAUUUGCGAUAUAGAAAUACAUAACAUUGCUAAUAGGGAAACACAAAUAAGAUUCAGGAAAAACAUUACAAAUGAUCUCUGGGGAAAAUCCAGUUUGUCAGGUGAGGGGCUGCCAUCACGAGUCCUUGUUUCAAUAGAUUAAUUGGGUGCAUCCAGGAAGAGUCCCAGUCCUCAAGGGAGCCUUCUGGAAGACAACUGAAUGCUCUUGGUCAAGUUUUGUCUUGUUGAGGAGGAUUUCUUAAGAGUACAAAGAUAUCACAGCUAAAAUGCACUCUCAACUCUUUAGAAGAAUCAGUGCUGCUGGUUCUGGAGCCACAUCUUGAGAAUAAGCUGCUGGAUUUACAUUUCCCUCAGGACCCUAAAACAUCCAGUUUCAUUCCAGCUGAUCUCUCACAUUCUUCAAGGGAAUCCCUGGGAAUGUACUUUCAAGAAACAAGGCUCCGUCUGCUAACACUGGGAUUCAGCUGCUGCUGAGAAGAGACUAUUUCCCGCCACCUUCUCUGAAAGCCACUGAAACACAGCGGGCCUGCUUGUUCCUUAGCCACCUCCACAUUUCCACCACGAGUAAACAUGUAAGAAAUUACAAAUAGGAGACAAGCCCUACAGACUGUGAAAUUACCUACAGUUGUUCACAUUUUUCCCCAUAAAAUAGUAUCCUUCCAGAAAUUUGCCUGCAGAGAGGAUAGUCUUUCUAGCAGUAAUUCCUACCUGCGAGGGUUGCUGGUCCAUUGGCAUAACAGGACUUCAGGGUACCAGCCAGGAGAUCACAAGAAAGAUGCUUCUUCAAGUGUCUGCUGCAGUACAAAAUAACACCUACUGAAUAUCAUCCAAGACGCACAUCUCUUUAGAACGAGAGCACAUCAACAUGUUUAUUUAACAAGCACUAUGUAGUGUUUCCCAUAUACCAGGCCCUGUUCACAUGUCACUCUUUUGCCCCUUUUAACAACCUUCUGUGGAGACAACCAUUAUUAUCCCCAUUUGACAGAAGGAGACAUUGAGGCCCAGAAAAGGUUAGUAGCCCAUGUUACUCUGCAAGUAACAGAGGCAAGAUUUGAACCCAGGCAGUCUAGUUCCAGGGACAUGUUCUUAUUCACUAUCCUAGUGGUUAUGUAACUUCAGCCUGUAUCAGAAUCCCCU
rnacentral:lncRNA from 1 species